rnacentral:lncRNA from 1 species
AGCUGUAUAAAUUAGUGAACUCUUGAAUUUGAAUUUGGCUCAUUAUUAAAUUUGCAUUUCUAAUUUGAUGCAAUUUAGUUCACCGAAAAAUUUGGUGCCAAGUUAAAAGUAAAAUGUUUAAUUGUUCUUCGGUAAUUGUACUUGAUUAGCUCUAUAUGCUUUAAAUAAGUAUUAAUCUUGUGGUAUUAGAAUUAUUACUGGGAUCUUUUGAAGUGUAGAAACGAGAAAGAAUUAUGGCUCAAUUUUGUUAUUAUCAUGUUGUGGAGAACUACAAGAGUUUUGCGUAUGUUCAUUAACAAUUCAAUAGGCAAAUGUCAAGAUAUAUAGAGCUUUCAUUAUUAGGUAAGUAUAAAUUCGAUUAAAUCUUGUUUCGAUAAGAAUAUGAUUAUGCAUUUUUGCUGAUAUCUUUAAAAAUUUAAGAAUAUACGAGGUGACGUAUCUUGAUCAAAAUUGCUUUAGCAAUUAACUUUUGAUAAUUUGAAUUUUGAUGUGUAAAUAAAGAUUAUUAGGAGGGAUAUACUUAAACAAGAAGAUAAUUAUAUCUCUAAAUCAGUGUAUGUUAGAAUCAAGAAUGUGAUAAUGCAUUUAGAUUGAGACGAAUAAAAAUUCAAACAAUAAAAAUAUAAGUAAUUAGAUAUGAAAUGUAACACAUUUUAUCCAAAAUUAAAAUAAGACAAUGUAAGCGAUAAAGUGAUUGUGUUAAAACCACUUGACUCGAUGGGUGUCUUAUACCUUCCAUUAAUCAAUAAAAUUUCUUACUUGACCUUAUGUUUUUAAUUUGAGUACCCAAAUAAAAAGUCAUUUUCUUUUAAUUGAAAAUUCAAAAAAAAACUAUUUCAAAACCGAUAACCACUUUCACGUAAUGAAUCUAAAUACAUAAAAUAAUUUCUUGUCAAUACUAUUAGUUUAAUUGAAAAAACUCAAAAAUCUUUAUUUUCUCUCUUCUUAUCUUAAUUAAAAAAAAUCCUCCGUCUAUCCAGGAGGUUUUGGGAAGAAGGGGUGUGAUAGUGGUCACAUCAUUGCAAUUUAUCACCUUAUUUUCUAUCAAUAAAAUUUUGUCAAAACAGCAAUAGAAUUUGGUUUAUAAAUCAAAAUUUUUAAUUUUUAGUUAUGAUUUUUGAAUUAUUUUUACCUCUUUUAUUAAAAAUAAAAGAUAUUAUUUUUAUUUUAUUUAUACAAAACUAUAAAAAUACUUUUAAAAUUAAAUACUUAAAAUAAAUUAAUUCAAACUGAUUUUUAAUUUAAUGGAUCCCAGCAAAAGGACAUUACAUUGUGGGGUUUGUACAUAAGAUAUACAAACUUAGUCUACUCGUUGCGUCUCAAUUUUAGUUUGACAAGUACUUGACUAGGCAUCAAAUAUUUUUUCUAUUUUGUACUUUUAUAAUAAUUUAAAAUUACCAUACUAAAAAGACAUAAUUGUUCAAAUAAUAAAUAUUUCUCAUUUUCAAUUUUAUGAUUUCGAGUUUGAGUAAAAGAAAAAAUAAAAAGAUAAGAGCUCUAGAAAAGGAAUAAAAAAUAUUUUUUGAAGCAAGAAAAUACUAUAUUUAUUAGUCUUAACAUAUCAUUGUAAUUAUUAUGAGAAAAUAUUGCUAAAAAAUAUUAUUUUUUUCUUAAAGAAAAUCAAAUAUAAUAAUGUAAAAUGUAAAAGACAAAAGUAUGGGAUAAAAUUUAUCCGCAUCGCUGUAUCGAAUAUUUAUAUCAAAUCAAUAUAUACAUGUCAUGUAUUUAAAUUUAUAAUUUAUUUUGCUUUAUUAAAUCAUUAGUAGCAAGAUUGGACAGAAAAGUAGCAAAAUCGAUAAUGGCAACUACUCAAGGAAUUGGAUGCCAACUUUAUUUUUUGUAAAAAUUAUACAAAUCACAUAGUGUAAAAUAUAAAUUACAUUCUAUCCCUACUCUUUUAUAAAUUACAAAAAAUCCCAUAUUUUUAGUAAGUUUCAGAUACAUAUUAUGAUGUAUGAUACAUUAUAUUUGGUUUAGGUUUAACAGUGUAAUGCGUAAGGUGAGGAUUAAAAAUUGAAAUUUUUACUAAACCCCUAAAAGUCGCUAUCGUUACUAAUCCCCUAAAUUACGCCUUAAUUUAUUUGUUUCAAACAGUUUUAGUCAAUAUAAAAUACUAAGAGAAUUAGAAUUGUUUAUCUUUGUUUCUCCCAAAAAAGUUUCAGAAACGAGGUUUAUAAUUUUCUUUGAAGGCGAUUUUGUGAAGAUUCGUUAUGAAUAUUCCAAUCUUGUUAAGGCAUUCAGGAAUAUGAGAGAGUGAGGUUAGAUACGAGCGAUACAAAAGUGAUUGGAUAGUGAUUGGGGAAAAUAUUUUAUAUAUGAAUCUUAUUUCAGCCAUUGCAAUUGAAUUGAAUAUUGAUAAUUGAAAAAAAAAUGUUAUCAUCCGAUAUAUUAUAGAAGGUAAUUCAUCUCCGAUGAUAAUUAGGAAUGAUAUGGAAGUGAAGUUGUACGUAGAAAUAAACCUGUUGCAUUAGCCAAGCCGGACAAAAGUGAUUGGACAAUUCUGAAAAGUGUUUUGAAAGAGGUUGUCUUGCCACCAAGAUACAAAAAAAGGUCUGGUAGAUCAAGGAAAAAAGGAAAGAAAAAUGCAGAUGAAAAGCUAAUCGCAAACACAAAUUGUUGUGGACAAUUGGACAAGAAGGUUACAAUAGAAGAACAUAUACUUUUUUUUUAAAAAAAAUUCUUGAUGAUUAUGUUUUCGGAGUAUCAUGGAUAUUUCAUGUUUAAUAAUUCUCAAAGUGUAGCAUUUGUUACCACUGUUACACAGAGAUUUUGGUACAAUAAAUUGAAUUGAAACGUUUAUCAAUAUGUUCUAAAAUUUUUAUUUGUUAAAAGUUGUCAAAAGUUAAUUUUAUAUUUAUGUAUCUGAUACUUUAAUUUUUAUAACGUUUACAUCCAAAAUUUAAUUUGUGUUAAUUGCUGAGAUUUUUACCCAAAGGUAUAAGAAACAAGACGCAAAAUAUUUACUAAUUGUAUUAAGUUUAGCAAUAUAGUAUCACAUGUUUAGAUACUUAAUAAAUUUUCAUAUUAGAAGACCAAAUUAUUGUGUGUAAUAUAUAUAAAAUUCUUUCUUGAUAAAUCAUAUUACUUAAUAUAUCAAUUGUUGUGAUUUGUACAAAAUAUAUUUAAUUUUUUUAAAAAUAACUAGCAUGUAUCUAGUGUAAAAUAUAAUAUCACGAUUUGUGAUACAAACAAAUUUGUUAUUUGGUAAUCAUUUUUGUAUCAUGUACAUAAUAAUUAUUUACAAAAUUCUAAUGAUAUGUAUCAAAAAUAUCAGAUACAUUAAUGUGAUAUUUUUAGUGAUAAAAUUUCAUUAAUGUAACUAUUAUCAUAGAUAUCUCAUACAAUAACGUCAUUAUUAUCAUACUUUUUGGAUAUAUAAUUUUCUGAAUUCCUAACUGAACUAAACAGAAAAUCAAAAUUGAAAAUAAACAAUUUUAACUCUUCCAAAUUUAAUACUAUAUUAUUGUAAGGGUAAUAAACACUCCAAUACACUAUUUGAUCUCCAAAAUACAAAUAAGCAUCAACAUAUGUCUGUGAACAGGAACACAGAAAACUAACUAGCCUACAUUAACAAGUUCAUUUUCAUCUGCUGAUUUUAAGUCAUUCUUCAAUCUUGGAGGAUCAUCAUUGUCGCUAACAUAUCCAAAAUUGGUCUUGUCGAGAUCAUACUUCCAUAACAACAACAUAUCUUUUGCGAAGAUAGUCACGUCAAAACUAUUAUCUCACAUGUUGAUUUCGUCAUUCAAAAAUUCCGCAAAUGCAGCUAACAUUUCACAAUCACUACAAAAACAAGAAGAUUAAUGAUAAGAAUGAAUUAGAUACAAAAAUAAUAGAGAAAAAAUGAUACAAUACUGACAGGCUAUCGCUUUUGAGAUAUCUUGAGCAAACUCCACAUCAAACGAAUAUUGCGGACCCAAAAGUUCUUCGAUUUUCUUGUCUUUAUAUGCGUUCAAAGCUGUCCAAUCAGUUCUCUCUGUCUUUUCAAAUAACCCACUACCAUAAAUAAUUGGAUACCCUUAUCCCCUAUUAACAAAGCUAAGUCUCUUGAGAUAUUCAAUUGUAAAUAGAGUCAAACUUAAAGGAAUGUUUUGCAUCUAUUUAACUACAUAAUUCAUAUUCUGCAAUUGAAAAAAAUGAUGUUGAUACUUAAUAUAAAUAAUAAGCUUUAAUAUAAUACAUAAAAAUGUAAAACUGUACUUGAUACAUAAUUCUAACUACAGAUUAUAAAUCAGUCAAAUUUAUACUUAAUAGAAAUAAUAAGCUUUAAUAUGAUACAUAAAAAUGUAAAUUGUAAUUGAUACAUAAUUCUAACUAUAAAUUAUAGAUCAGUCAAAUUGAUACUUAAUAGAAAUAAUAAGUUUUAAUAUGAUACAAAAAAAAAGUAAAAUUGUACUUGAUACAUAAUUGUAACUACAGAUUAUAAAUCAGUCAAAUUGAUAUUUAAUAGAAACAAUAAGCCAACUGAUGAAACAUUAUGUUGUUCUGAUACAUACAUGUAAUCCUCUAAUUUGAACUUUAAACUUUCAUACACUUUUCACAACAAAAAAAUGACCAAAUAUGCUUUAUCUAGUAAGAUGAAUGAUACAUAAAAUCAACAUUUUGUAAAUUAAUGAUAAAUAUCAACAGUUAUAACUUGUUUUUUUUUUUCAUUUUAACUUCUUGAUACAUUAGUCGUAAGAAUAAUCAAAAUAUACCAAAAUUUAGAGUUUUGUGUAUCAAAUGAAGAAUAAUAUAUAUAAAAAAAUUAUUUAGAAAAAUGUUUCUACUAUUACACAAAACUCAUUACAUGUGAAUACAAAAAUUACAAAAAAAAUAUACUGAUGGUGGUGCAGAUCUGGAAAUGGAGACGACAUUCUUUCUACCUCUCUUCUUGGGUGUUUUUGCAUGUUUUUUUUUUUAAUUUCUUGAAACUUUAGAAGAUUAUUGCAAGCUCUUAGACUCGUUUUCUGCCACUUUAGAUUCUUCACAAAUAGAGAUUUAAUUAGUGUUUAAUGUAACUAUUUGGGUAAUCGCAAUACUAAAUGACGGAUGAUCCAUGAAGUAUUAGAAAGAAAAAAAGAAAGAAAAAAAUUUGAAGAUGAAAAUUUAUCUAUUUCGAACUUUGAAAUUGGUUGAGGAGAAUAUGGGAGAGAGAGAACAAGUUUGAAAUUCAAAAUUAAGAAGAUGGAACGGUUGAAAAUAUGGCAGAGAAAAUUUAGGAGUGAAAAUUGGGUUUGCUUAUUGAAGGAUAAGAUUGUGAAGUAAAUAGAGGAGUAAAUUUAGGGGUGAAAUGUAAUGGUUUGGAAUUCUAAAAAAUAAUGUAUCGGUAGUUUUUGAUUUGGGGAGAAAUAGGGAUUUUUGUAUUUUUUAAAAAUAGUAGGGAAAUAUGGUGAAUAUAUAAACUAAAGGUGUAUAUUCUAGUAAUUAUUCCUUAUUUUUUUGAUUAAUAACCCAUGAAUUGAUAACGAGAAAUAUGGCAAACGGUAUUUUCAAUUAGGUUCAGGGUGGGUGUUUGGUAUUCGAUUGGUGAUUUUUAAAUUUUGGAUAUAAUAAUUUGAUAAUUGAUAGUUAAAAGUAGAUAUGAUAUAUAUUAUUAAAUUUUGAUACGAUAAUAAUUGAUAAUUAAAUUUUAAUUUAGUAUGGUAUUUGAUAAUAUUGUAUUAAAGUUGUAGAUGAUUCUAUUACAAAGUUACUACCAUUGCUCCAAUAAUUUUUAUUUUUUAUGUGGAGGUAUGAUACAAUGGAAGAUCAACAAGAAAAAAGACAUCAAAAAAUGUAAAUUGAUAUAUAGAAUUAUAUGAUGACAUGUAUUUGAAUUGUUUAUGUUUAGUAAUGAACUUCCUUUAAUGACUUGUACUAAUGAAUAAUGGACUUGUUGAUGAAUUUUAUGAAGUAAAUAAUUCAAUAUUCACAAUAUACCAAAUAUCAAGUGAUACUAAUGUCUUAUUCUAAAUUCAUACUUAAAUACCGUAGUUCUAAAGUUUUAUUCCUGAACAUUAUAUAAAAUUACUGAAUAUUUAAUAAAAAAUAAAUAAAAUAAAAUUGAUUCGAUUGACAAAUUCAGUUUUUGAUAUUUUAUAUAUAACCCUAAUUAGGGGUUCAUUAUUUGUUCACUAUAUCAAAAAUAAUCUUUAUCGACAAUUAAUCACUGUAAUGACUUAAUUGCCACUAAAUAUGAACUUUUAGCGGCAAUUGGCACUCUUGUAUAUGUUUAUAAAAAACUUUAGUGAUAUUGGAUCCAAUUACAGUUAACUAAUGUCAUUAAAAAUUUUAACCCUCUUUUUAAUGUAUAUAUUUAUUGCUGCUAAAAGGUAUUUUUAUUGUAGUAAUUUUGAAUUGACGCUAAAAAAUAUUUUGUUACAGUAAUUUCGAUCCGUACUCUUAUUUUCAGAUACUUAUGAUCAUCAUCCCUUCUUUCAAUUUUAUCCUCCGACAACCAGUUCGCGGAGGUCACCUCCGCCAACAACAAAGGUUGCCGGUUUUCUCUUCUCGUUGUAUCCUAGUUUUUUUGUAGUAGCUCUAUUAUGCCUACUUUUCUUGUAACUUUAUCAUUCAAAUUAUGAAUUGUGACAUUAUGUAACACUAAUUCGAUACUGCAAUGCAAUAUAUUUUCAAAUAACACGUAACAACCAUUCAAACAAAGUAGUACAAAAGAUACCUAUAGCAGCAUCUGGACACAAUUUUGUAAAAUGUUCUUGCUUUACUCUUUCAAAUCAUAUUCAAAUCAUUAUAUUCACAUUUUAGGGAAGAGAAAAAAACAACACAAACUCACAAGAACAGAAAAAAAAGAGAAGGAAAAAAAAAGGCAGAGAAACACAUUUUAUCGGUAAAUUGUUCUUCACAAAAAGUAACACUAUGAUUUAUUUUCAUGAUUAUAUAAGACAUGAUUUCAGUGCUAGUACAUAGUUUGCUCA